rnacentral:rRNA from 1 species
AUUGAACGCUGGCGGCAUGCCUUACACAUGCAAGUCGAACGGUAACGGGCCUUCGGGUGCCGACGAGUGGCGAACGGGUGAGUAAUACAUCGGAACGUGCCCGAUCGUGGGGGUUAACGUGGCGAAAGCUUUGCUAAUACCGCAUACGAUCUACGGAUGAAAGCAGGGGACCGCAAGGCCUUGCGCGGACGGAGCGGCCGAUGGCAGAUUGGGUAGUUGGUGGGAUAAAAGCUUACCAAGCCGACGAUCUGUAGCUGGUCUGAGAGGGGGAUCGGCCACACUGGGACUGGGACACGGCCCAGACUCCUACGGGAGGCAGCAGUGGGGAAUUUUAGACAAUGGGCGCAAGCCUGAUCCAGCCAUGCCGCGUGCAGGAUGAAGGCCUUCGGGUUGUAAACUGCUUUUGUACGGAACGAAAAGCCUUCUUUUAAUACAGGAGGGUCAUGACGGUACCGUAAGAAUAAGCACCGGCUAACUACGUG